UCACCUGCCGAAGCAACUAGCCCUGAAAAUGGAUGGCGCUCUAGCGUCGUGCCUAUACCGGGCCGUCAACGGCAAAGUUGGCCAGUGUCCCGCCGGCUCAAACCGACGGGCUUGGUCGUUAAGCCUUGACGAGUAGGAGGAGCGCGGCGGUGUGCGCAGAAGGGUCUGAGCGUGAGCUCGCCUGGAGCCGCCGUCGGUGCAGAUCUUGGUGGUAGUAGCAAAUACUCUAGCGAGGGCCUGGAGGGCUGAUGUGGAGAAGGGUUUCUUGUGAACAGCCGUUGCACAAGAGUCAGUCGACCCUAAGCCCUAGGAGAAAUCCGAUGUCGAUGGGCAGCUAUCAAUCGGCUGGCGUGGUGUGGUCCCAGACCUACCGGCCAAACCGACUGCUCCCGUCGGGCGAAAGGGAAUCCGGUUCCUAUUCCGGAACCCGGCCGCGGAACCGUAACUUCGCGGGCACUCGCCUGCGAGCGCUCGUCGGGGUAACCCAAAAUGACCCGGAGACGCCGUCGGGAGGUCUGGAAAGAGUUUUCUUUUCUUUAUAAGCGUUCGAGUUCCCUGGAAUCCUAUAGCAGGGAGAUAGGGUUUGGAACGCGAAGAGCACCGCAGUUGCGGCGGUGUCCGGACCUUCCCCUCGGACCUUGAAAAUCCGGGUGAGGGCUACGCGGAAUGUCGCGCCGGCUCGUACCCAUAUCCGCAGCAGGUCUCCAA
rnacentral:rRNA from 1 species